AUUAAAUUUUAAUUGACAAAAAUAAAAUAGAUUUUUAUUUAUAUUACCAAAAAUUAUAUUUUUUUGUUAUUUGAGCUUAGUCAAGCCAAAAUGAGCAAGCUAGCAAAUCUCAAGUCUGGCUUUGUUUAUAUUUUUGGCUUUGGUUUGAAGCCCAAACUCGACUACUGUACUAAUCAAAUGAAACCCUAUCAAUUAUAAGCCAAAUUUUAGUCAAACAUAACCUAAACAAGAAGGAUUCACUCACUCACCCUUACUCAUAAGAGACAUGUGACUAUUCAAAUAUAAGAAGAUUUCUCUAGAUUUCAUCUCCAGGAAAGGUUGGAAGAGGUCUGUUAAUAUAAUACAAUCAGCUAGAUCUAGUUGCUAGAUGCAAGAGUAAGUGAAGGAGUGGAUGCAAGUGCGGGUAUGAGAGAGAAAAUCUUCAAAAAAUAAACAACUAGAAUGAGGAAAUGCUUGGAAACAUGGGCAAGCUUCCUAUGCAAGUAUAUCAUCAUAAGUAGCGUUUCUAGCUACUAAGAGCCAGACGCCACUCCUUGAAUUCAAAUGAGGACAAUUCUCCUACAGGCAGAAUGGCUAGUUAAUUUCUAGCUAAUUGAGAGCAUUAUAUUAGAGAACAAAUAGAAGAUGGAAGCUUAAUUGUCAAAUAGCCAACUGACUGUAGGCAAUGGAUCUAGACUACUACUUAGGUGGUGCCUAUGUGACCAUGCGACCACUCAGUAAACAAACUUGAUACAACAUUACUUGAUAAUUUUUUAUUUGACUCCAUUAAUAUGAAUAUAUCAUUAUAGAAAGAAGUGUGAAACCCGAUGGAAAUUUGCCAAUGCUAGAAAAAAGUGUUGUUAACUUGUCCACCGUGCCAAAUUUUGCCGACAUAGCUUACAAACGUUGGAACAUGACGACGCUUUAAGGUGUCAGCAAGUUAGAAUGGAUUUUUUGACAUUUUUUUGUUAAGUGUCGUUAUGUUAUGACGCUUAAAAGUGUCGUCAGAAACCAAUAAUAAAACAACACUAAUAAGUGUCGUUGGGUUCCACAUAUUUUCCAAAUCCCUAGCCCGACGCAGCUCCUUUCCUCUCACCCCUACCACUAAGCUCCUCCUCCUCCUUCGCUGCCACUCUAUCAGUUUUCUUCUCCUCCUCCUCCUUCGCUGCCACUCUAUCAGUUUUCUUCUCCUGCUCCGCCUCUCUAUCGGCCUCCUCCUCCUUUACCAGCUUCCUCCUCCUUCAACUCCACUCCGCAUACUCCACUCCGCAUACCUCCGACCUCCUCCUCGACUCCCUCCCACGGCCUUCACCUCCCUCAUAGCCGGCCGCUCGGCCCCAACCGGCCACCGCCUCCAAGAAUCCCCUCCCUCUUAGUAAACAAAGAACAUGCUCCAAUAAGUAAAUUCCAAAUACAUUAACUCAUACCAUCACAGACCAAUAUAAACAGAGAUAAUAUGGCAUAGUCAUGGUUCCAAUAAUAUACAGUGAGAAUGGGCAAUCAAACAAUAUGGUUCAUACAAGAAAGCACAAUUAAUAUAGUUUUUAAGGAAACCAGGAAGGCCAGAACCAUAUUAAUGCACCGAAAAAUUCAAGAUAUUUUGGGGAGUAGAAGAGUUUCAACAUUUUUUUGAGAACUAGGAUGGAUGGAAUCCUGGCAAAAAUCGGGUGAGGGCAAGAUCGAUCCUUGUCACUGGUAUCAACACCCAAUGAUGUUAUAAACUUUUUUGGGAAUAAAAUAAUUUCAACAUAAUCAUUGCGUGGUCAUAUGCACCCAUUCUUCAUGCCGAGAACUUAAUAACCACUUUAUCCUGUUGUAAAGCAUAUAUAGAAGUUGAAUCUUGGGUAGAAACAGGAAAUAAAUUUUAGAACUAUAGUGACAAAAGCGAAUAUGCUCAUCAGGCAGUGCAUGCCAACAACUACGAGGAGUGCAGAGGUCAUUGGAUUCUUACAUAGUUUUAUAUAAGCAGGGGAUAUCUUGUAUGUUUCAGGUCAUAACUUACUGCAUGAGAGCUUGUCAUUUUUAUAUGCUAGCACUGAUUAUUGAGCCAAAAUUCCCGAAGGAUUUCUAGGAUUUAUCCUAAAGUUUUUGGGACCGUUUUCCAGAAUUUCCCUUUUAAACAUCCAUGUAUCACCUUAUUUUAACUUGCAGGCACUUGUUCAAAUUACCAAAAUUAGAGGCUUUUGCUGAAAUCCGUAGAGGAUUUUGAUCCAUUUGUCACAGACCAUAAAAUGGCUUUCAUUGUUGUUCUGACUUACCUGUGUUAUUCUCGUUUCUUCUAUUGCGUUGUUCUUCCUUAUCUUCUUGAUCCUUUAAGGAAGAUAUCAUGCAACAUGAAAGUGUCAUGCUCCAAAUUUUUCAAUGAUCAGAGUUCUUAUACCAUCUAAGUGAUGGGCGUAGCCUUAUACUUUAGGCAAAUGAUUAGGAUGUACAAAUACUUCAAAUUAAUGCUGUGUUUGUAUCGGAUAUGUGUCAUAUACUGAUACUUGCUAGAUAUGAAUAAGAUGCAUUCUAGAUAUUUAUUCUAAGUAUCCUACAUUUUUUGAACUUAAAAAGGACACCGAAUAUUUCUCAGAUAUGCUAAAGAGACUUCAUGGAAACCCUUGAGGGUGAGGAGGAAGGCUAUUUUAGACAUUUUGAUGAUGGAAGCUUAUUUAGAACCUGGUGAUGUUAGUGUUAUUAUUUGGGGUGUGUGUGUGCACAUAUGUAUGUAUGCAUAUUGGUACAUGCAUGCAUGCAUGCAUGCAUAUUUGUACACGUACACACGUACAUACACACACACACACACAUUUGGCUUAUGACCAAAUGGAGUUUGUAGAUGUUGAUGUUACAGAUUGUGUAUGGAUUAUAUUGGGCUUAACCAUUAUGCCUAAUGGAUUCUAUUUUACAUCAGCUAGAAAAUAUAGUUAUUCAUUCUCAAUACCUACUUGUAUCAUAUAUUCCUUCCAGAUUUUUUAUAUCAUUAUAUCUAAAAAUGUUUUAUAUCCAAUGUGUUACCGACAUCCAGCUCCUAGAAUCCGUGUCAUAUAUGUAUCUGAAUCAUAUACGCAUCCCAGCACCAUACAUCUUUGAUUCUACUAUAGAUAAUAUGAUUUACACGUGAUGUUUCAUUUGCAUCUAUUAGCAAUUUUUUAAUAUUAUUGAAACCAUGACUAUGAAUACCAGUACGGGCACCAUACUUUGCAUAAAUAUCUCAAAAACCACUUAAACAUGGAAUAACUAAAAAAAUAUUUACUAAGCAUUCAUUUUAAGGUAAAACUUUAAAAAUUGAAAAUAAAAUAUGAAAAUAAAAAAAACCGCUAUCUUGGUACAGUACCAGGAUGUAGGAACAAACACACACAAAAGUUGAGCUAAGUUUCUUAUUAUCUUUAGCUAAUUCUGGUUGCCAGAUCUCAUGGUUAGUAGAUACUAGCAAGUAAAAUUCUAGCUAUGAUAUAUUCUUCUUUGUAGUGAUUAAAUUUUAAUUGAAAAAAAUAAAAUAGAUUUUUAUUUAUAUUACUAAAAAUUAUAUUUUUUGUUAUUUGAGCUUAGUCAAGCCAAAAUGAGCAAGCUAGCAAAUCUCAAGUCUGGCUUUGUUUAUAUUUUUGGCUUUGGUUUGAAGCCCAAACUUGACUACUCUACUAAUCAAAUGAAACCCUAUCAAUUAUAAGCCAAAUUUUAGUCAUACACAACCUAAUCAAGAAGGAUUCACUCACUCACCCUUACUCAUAAGAGACAUGUGACUAUUCAAAUAUAAGAAGAUUUCUCUAGAUUUUAUCUCCAGGAAAGGUUGGAAGAGGUCUGUUAAUAUAAUAGAAUCAGCUAGAUCUAGUUGCUAGAUGCAAGAAUAAGUGAAGGAGUGGAUGCAAGUGCGGGUAUGAGAGAGAAAAUCUUCAAAAAAUAAACAACUAGAAUGAGGAAAUGCUUGGAAACAUGGGCAAGCUUCCUAAGCAAGUAUAUCAUCAUAAGUAGCGUUUCUAGCUACUAAGAGCCAGACACCACUCCUUGAAUUCAAAUGAUGACAAUUCUCCUACAGGCAGAAUGGCUAGUUAAUUUCUAGCUAAUUGAGAGCAUUAUAUUAGAGAACAAAUAGAAGAUGGAAGCUUAAUUGUCAAAUAGCCAAUUGACUGUAGGCAAUGGAUCUAGACUACUACUUAGGUGGUGCCUAUGUGCCCAUGCGACCACUCAGUAAACAAACUUGAUACAACAUUACUUGAUAAUUCUUUAUUUGACUCCAUUAAUAUGAAUAUAUCAUUAUAGAAAGAAGUGUGAAACCCGAUGGAAAUUUGCCAACGCUAGAAAAAAGUGUUGUUAACUUGUCCACCACGCCAAAUUUUGCCGACACAGCUUACAAACGUUGGAACAUGACGACGCUUUAAGGUGUCAGCAAGUUAGAACGGAGUUUUUUUGACCUUUUUUGUCAAGUGUUGUUAUGUUAUGACGCUUAAAAGUGUCGUCAGAAACCAAUAAUAAAACAACACUAAUAAGUGUCGUUGGGUUCCACAUAUUUUCCAAAUCCCUAGCCCAACCCAGCUCCUUUCCUCUCACCCCUACCACUAAGCUCCUCCUCCUCCUUCGCUACCACUCUGUUGGUUUUCUUCUCCUACUCCGCCUCUCUGCCGGCCUCCUCCUCCUUUACCAGCUUCUUCCUCCUUCAACUCCACUCCGCAUACUCCACUCCGACGCAUACCUCCGACCUCCGACUCGACUCCCUCCCACGACCUUCACCUCCCUCACAGCCGGCCGCUCGGCCCCAACCCGCCACCGCCUCCAAGAAUCCCCUCCCUCUUAGUGCCUGUCAACCCUAAAGAAUGAAUUUUGAUGAUUACAAAACACUUGAGAUGAUGUUGUGUACUAAUGAUGUUGGCUUAAUUGU
rnacentral:lncRNA from 1 species